rnacentral:rRNA from 1 species
UACGUAGGGGGCUAGCGUUGUCCGGAAUCAUUGGGCGUAAAGAGCGUGUAGGCGGCUCGGUAAGUCCGCUGUGAAAGUCCAGGGCUCAACCCUGGAAUGCCGGUGGAAACUGUCGAGCUAGAGUCCGGAAGAGGCGAGUGGAAUUCCUGGUGUAGCGGUGAAAUGCGCAGAUAUCAGGAGGAACGCCAAUGGCGAAGGCAGCUCGCUGGGACGGCACUGACGCUGAGACGCGAAAGCGUGGGGAGCAAACAGG